rnacentral:rRNA from 1 species
GACAGAGGUGGCAAGCGUUGUUCGGAUUUAUUGGGUGUAAAGGGUCCGUAGGUGGCCUAACAAGUCUGAUGUGAAAUCCCAUGGCUCAACCGUGGAACUGCAUUGGAAACUGUUGGGCUUGAGUACCGCAGAGGUAAAGGGAAUUCCCGGUGUAAGGGUGAAAUCUGUAGAUAUCGGGAGGAACACCAGUGGCGAAGGCGCUUUACUGGGCGGUUACUGACACUGAGGGACGAAAGCAAGGGGAGCAAACAGG